AGACCUAGUCCACUCCCUAUUUCUAACCAGUCCAGAGAAAUGUACAACCCAGGGCCUGAGUAGUGCAAGUCUCCCGGAGUGGGGGAAGUCUAACCUUGAGCAGCUACUAUCUAGAUCAUGAGAACUGGAGACACGUGGAGGAUCUAGAAAUGGCUGACAGGAUCUGAGGCCUCAGGGAAUGGACACAGCCUUACAAAAACUAAAGAGAGGAGAGGGAAGUUGGGGAGAAAAGAUGGGGGUGACAGGUGAGUGAGCCGGGCUCAGAGGCUCUGCAUGUUCUGGCUAGUUGUAAACACUGCUCGGAGCACCUGGGGGAGUCUCGCACAACCAGGGGUGCAGAGGGGAUGACUGCGGGGGAAAUGCGGGGAAGAUGACAGCAAACGAUAAAUUAGGAGACUACCCUUGGGCUGAGUCCUGCAGAACCGGUGUAAAAGGCUUAAGGCUGGCUGGGAGGCCAGCAGUGCGAUACUAGCAGUCUCGACUACGAGGCGACCCGAUGGCUUCAUCAGCCUUGGAAUUCUGCCAGAAGAUGGGCGCCCCAAGGGACCAGGUAAAGAUGGGUGGAGCGACAGAGAGCGUAGAAAGGACAGGGAGGACGACUGGGGGCUGGACUUGGGACCAGGUGGGCCUCACCGGAAGUACCGAUCCUCUUCAGCCUUUUCUCGUUUUCCGAAGGCUCCACCAGCUUCUCGGAUGGAGCCAGCGCCCGUAUCCAUGCUAUCCGACUGCAAAGAGAGUCGUGGACGUGAAAAGAAAAGGCACAACAAGGGAGAGAGAACCUGCGCCCCGCGAUGGGCGCUGGGCCGUGCCGCCACCUACCGAGUCCGAGACGAAGCCUCGGGUUUGCAGGACCUUCAUACCCCAGACACCGAACCGAGCCCGAACUGCCAACGCCGAGCCUGCCAUUGUCUUCGGCGUUGCUCAGCUCGCGUUGCGGGCGUGGCUGCUUCUCUCCUAGCGCGCUAACUGCGAGGGCGGCUGAACUGCCAAUCUAGACGCCGGGGAGGUGGGACGAGCACGGAAACCGCGAAUCAGGAGGGAGGGGGCGGGGCUUAUGAUAUCUGCAGCGUUUGUUGAGAGGGAGGCGGAUUUAUCCCUUAGUUAACAGUUAAUAAACAAGGCUCUAACGCAUCAUGACCCAGGAGUCUACAGAGCGAAGUCAAAAGAUGAA
rnacentral:lncRNA from 1 species